UUAUGGCGGGAACUCUAAUGGAGACUGCCGGUGAUAAACCGGAGGAAGGUGGGGACGACGUCAAGUCAUCAUGGCCCUUACGGGAUGGGCUACACACGUGCUACAAUGGCGUAUACAGAGUGCUGCAAUACCGCGAGGUGGAGCGAAUCACACAAAGUACGUCGUAGUCCGGAUCGGAGUCUGCAACUCGACUCCGUGAAGUCGGAAUCGCUAGUAAUCGUAGAUCAGAAUGCUACGGUGAAUACGUUCCCGGGCCUUGUACACACCGCCCGUCACACCAUGGGAGUGGGAUGCAAAAGAAGUGGCUAGUUUAACCUUCGGGAGGACGGUCACCACUUUGUGUUUCAUGACUGGGGUGAAGUCGUAACAAGGU
rnacentral:rRNA from 1 species